GUAUGAUGGCAGAUCUGAGAUUCGUCGUCUUUCCUUCUGAAUGCUUCUUUGUCAUAUUGGUGCUGAUUUCAGCAAUCUUUGAAUCCAAGAUCGCAAGCUGUCUGAAGUCUUGUCAGAGCGAAGUGAGAUCUCAACGAGCGAAAAGAUCACAGCGAAAGCAGAAAACAGCAGAAACGUGCGCUGAUAAAAGAUCACAGAAGAACCAGAGCACAGGAGACGCACAAGAGAUGAGAUCUCUGAAGACUGGAGAGCAGGAGGAGCAUCAGCCGGAUUCAGCAGAAUCACAAACAUGAUCCACAACCAGAGAAAACUGUCUCAC